CCUACGGGAGGCAGCAGUGAGGAAUAUUGGUCAAUGGGCGCGAGCCUGAACCAGCCAAGUAGCGUGAAGGAUGACUGCCCUACGGGCUGUAAACUUCUUUUAUAAGGGAAUAAAGUGAGGCACGUGUGCCUCUUUGUAUGUACCUUAUGAAUAAGGAUCGGCUAACUCCGUGCCAGCAGCCGUGGUAAUACGGAGGAUCCGAGCGUUAUCCGGAUUUAUUGGGUGUAAAGGGAGCGUAGGUGGGUUGUUAAGUCAGUUGUGAAAGUUUGGGGCUCAACCGUAAAAUUGCAGUUGAAACUGGCAGUCUGGAGUACAGUAGAGGUAGGCGGAAUUCGUGGUGUAGCGGUGAAAUGCUUAGAUAUCACGAAGAACUCCGAUUGCGAAGGCGGCUAACUGGACUGCAACUGACACUGAGGCUCGAAAGUGUGGGUAUCAAACAGGAUUAGAUACCCGAGUAGUC
rnacentral:rRNA from 1 species